UAUGAAGGGGGCUAGCGUUGCUCGGAAUCACUGGGCGUAAAGGGUGCGUAGGCGGGUCUUUAAGUCAGGGGUGAAAUCCUGGAGCUCAACUCCAGAACUGCCUUUGAUACUGAGAUCUUGAGUUCGGGAGAGGUGAGUGGAACUGCGAGUGUAGAGGUGAAAAUUCGUAGAUAUUCGAAGAACACCAGUGGCGAAGGCGGCUCACUG
rnacentral:rRNA from 1 species